UUUUCGUCAUAGAUCCGGGCGCUGGAUCCAGCACUGCACCACAACGAAGUUGGUCGGUGCACUCAAGUCCUAGUACCUCGGAUGGCAUGCUGUGCAACCAGAGUGGAGGUGCAGUUGCAGAAGCCGUGACUUCACAACCCUCAGUAGCACGGCCUGCAUUAGCGCGGCCUGCGUCGGCCCGGCCUGCAACACCGGGGCCUGCAACACCACGGCCUGCAUCAGCACGGCCUGCAUCAGCACGGCCUGCAUCAGCACGGCCUGCAUCAGCACAGCCUGCAUCUGCACGGCCUGC